rnacentral:rRNA from 1 species
UUUGCGGGUAGCAAUAUUUGCAAGUCGGAGUGGCGCAAGGGUGCGUAACACGUGGGCAAUCUGCCGUGAAGCCCGGAAUAACUCGCUGAAAGGCGAGCUAAUGCCGGAUGUGAAAGUCGGGAGGCAUCUUUUGACUUUCAAAGCUGGGGACCGCAAGGCCUGGCACUUCACGAUGAGCCCGCGGCCUAUCAGCUAGUUGGUGAGGUAACGGCUCACCAAGGCUUAGACGGGUAGCUGGUCUGAGAGGACGACCAGCCACACUGGAACUGAGACACGGUCCAGACACCUACGGGUGGCAGCAGUCGAGAAUUUUUCUCAAUGGGCGAAAGCCUGAAGGAGCGACGCCGCGUGGGGGAUGAAUGGCUUCGGCCCGUAAACCCCUGUCAUUUGCGAACAAAUUAUUUUACCUAACACGUAAAGUAUUGAUAGUAGCGGAAGAGGAAGGGACGGCUAACUCUGUGCCAGCAGCCGCGGUAAUACAGAGGUCCCAAGCGUUGUUCGGAUUCACUGGGCGUAAAGGGUGCGUAGGCGGUCGGGUAAGUCUGAUGUGAAAUCCCGCAGCUUAACUGCGGAACGGCAUUGGAUACUAUUCGGCUCGAGGAGUGGAGGGGAGACUGGAAUUCUCGGUGUAGCAGUGAAAUGCGUAGAUA